CGAGACUCAGUGAAAUUGAACUCGCUGUGAAGAUGCAGUGUACCCGCGGCAAGACGGAAAGACCCCGUGAACCUUUACUAUAGCUUGACACUGAACAUUGAGCCUUGAUGUGUAGGAUAGGUGGGAGGCUUUGAAGUGUGGACGCCAGUCUGCAUGGAGCCGACCUUGAAAUACCACCCUUUAAUGUUUGAUGUUCUAACGUGGACCCGUGAUCCGGGUUGCGGACAGUGUCUGGUGGGUAGUUUGACUGGGGCGGUCUCCUCCUAAAGAGUAACGGAGGAGCACGAAGGUUGGCUAAUCCUGGUCGGACAUCAGGAGGUUAGUGCAAUGGCAUAAGCCAGCUUGACUGCGAGCGUGACGGCGCGAGCAGGUGCGAAAGCAGGUCAUAGUGAUCCGGUGGUUCUGAAUGGAAGGGCCAUCGCUCAACGGAUAAAAGGUACUCCGGGGAUAACAGGCUGAUACCGCCCAAGAGUUCAUAUCGACGGCGGUGUUUGGCACCUCGAUGUCGGCUCAUCACAUCCUGGGGCUGAAGUAGGUCCCAAGGGUAUGGCUGUUCGCCAUUUAAAGUGGUACGCGAGCUGGGUUUAGAACGUCGUGAGACAGUUCGGUCCCUAUCUGCCGUGGGCGCUGGAGAACUGAGGGGGGCUGCUCCUAGUACGAGAGGACCGGAGUGGACGCAUCACUGGUGUUCGGGUUGUCAUGCCAAUGGCACU
rnacentral:rRNA from 1 species